rnacentral:rRNA from 1 species
GAUGAACGCUGGCGGCGUGCCUAAUACAUGCAAGUCGAGCGAACGGACGAGAAGCUUGCUUUUCUGAUGUUAGCGGCGGACGGGUGAGUAACACGUGGAUAACCUACCUAUAAGACUGGGAUAACUUCGGGAAACCGGAGCUAAUACCGGAUAAUAUUUUGAACCGCAUGGUUCAAAAGUGAAAGACGGUCUUGCUGUCACUUAUAGAUGGAUCCGCGCUGCAUUAGCUAGUCGGUAAGGUAACGGCUUACCAAGGCAACGAUGCAUAGCCGACCUGAGAGGGUGAUCGGCCACACUGGAACUGAGACACGGUCCAGACUCCUACGGGAGGCAGCAGUAGGGCAUCUUCCGCAAUGGGCGAAAGCCUGACGGAGCAACGCCGCGUGAGUGAUGAAGGUCUUCGGAUCGUAAAACUCUGUUAUUAGGGAAGAACAUAUGUGUAAGUAACUGUGCACAUCUUGACGGUACCUAAUCAGAAAGCCACGGCUAACUACGUG